rnacentral:lncRNA from 1 species
CGAGAGAGGACCACAGUCCUCCGACCCGGAAACGACCGCAAGGGAACCUGAUUGGAACUCUCACGUCCGGCCACCCCACGACGGCGCGCGAGCUCCAUUCCCUUCAUCUCUGCGUCGCCUACCUCACCGUAGCCUCUGAUCGUCCAUGCACUGAACGGAGAAGAAGAAUCGACGAUGGGAAGCUUUGUGUCUCCUCCGGCGAGUUCUGCAAUUUUCGGCUACUCCGGCCACCGUCUCAGCUGCUGGUGAUCCGGCGUUGUUCUUCGACGCCGGCG